rnacentral:tRNA from 1 species
CGGCCUUUAGCGCAGUUGGUAGCGCAUUUCCAUGACAUGGAAGUGGUCGCAGGUUCGAGUCCUGCAAGGCCGACCA